rnacentral:rRNA from 1 species
GGACGGAAAGACCCCGUGGAGCUUUACUGUAGCUUGAUAUUGAAUGUUUGUGCUGCAUGUGCAGGAUAGGUAGGAGACUUUGAAGUCGGAACGCUAGUUUCGAUUGAGUCACCCUUGAGAUACUACCUCUGUUGUAUGAACGUUCUAACUCUGAUCAGUUAUCCUGAUCGAAGACAGUGUCUGGCAGGCAGUUUGACUGGGGCGGUCGCCUCCUAAAAGAUAACGGAGGCGCUCAAAGGUUUGCUCAGAAUGGUUGGAAAUCAUUCGUAGCGUGUAAAGGCAUAAGCAAGCUUGACUGUGAGACUGACAAGUCGAGCAGGUACGAAAGUAGGACUUAGUGAUCCGGUGGUUCCGUAUGGAAGGGCCAUCGCUCAACGGACAAAAGCUACCCCGGGGAUAACAGGCUCAUCUCCCCCAAGAGUCCACAUCGACGGGGAGGUUUGGCACCUCGAUGUCGGCUCAUCGCAUCCUGGGGCUGUAGUCGGUCCCAAGGGUUGGGCUGUUCGCCCAUUAAAGCGGUACGCGAGCUGGGUUCAGAACGUCGUGAGACAGUUCGGUCCCUAUCCGUCGUGGGCGCAGGAAAUUUGAGAGGAUCUGUCCUUAGUACGAGAGGACCGGGAUGGACAUACCUCUGGUGUACCAGUUGUUCUGCCAAGAGCACCGCUGGGUAGCUACGUAUGGAUUAGAUAAUCGCUGAAAGCAUCUAAGUGAGAAACUAACCUCGAGAUGAGAUUUCCCAUUCGUCAGAAGUAAGACCCCUGAGAGACGAUCAGGUAGAUAGGCUAGAAGUGGAAGUGUAGUGAUGCAUGGAGCGGACUAGUACUAAUAGGUCGAGGACUUAACCAAG